rnacentral:rRNA from 1 species
AUUGAACGCUGGCGGCAUGCCUUACACAUGCAAGUCGAACGGUAACAGGUCUUCGGAUGCUGACGAGUGGCGAACGGGUGAGUAAUACAUCGGAACGUGCCCGAGAGUGGGGGAUAACGAAGCGAAAGCUUUGCUAAUACCGCAUACGAUCUCAGGAUGAAAGCAGGGGACCGCAAGGCCUUGCGCUCACGGAGCGGCCGAUGGCAGAUUAGGUAGGUGGUGGGAUAAAAGCUUACCAAGCCGACGAUCUGUAGCUGGUCUGAGAGGACGACCAGCGACACUGGGACUGAGACACGGCCCAGACUCCUACGGGAGGCAGCAGUGGGGAAUUUUGGACAAUGGGCGCAAGCCUGAUCCAGCCAUGCCGCGUGCAGGAUGAAGGCCUUCGGGUUGUAAACUGCUUUUGUACGGAACGAAAAGACUCUGGUUAAUACCUGGGGUCCAUGACGGUACCGUAAGAAUAAGCACCGGCUAACUACGUGCCAGCCGCCGCUGUAA